AAUCAACCCACUGUAUUAUCUGUUCACAAUUUGUUCCGCUUAUUGUUCUAGUCAGUCUCGAAAGAUAUUAAAAAAAUGACGAACGUCCAGAGAAAGAGGGUGAAAAUUGUUCUGUUAUAUCUUAUAUUUAUCCAAAUGGUGAAUGUAGGCCUAGUGGUAGACGCAAAUUCCUUACAACGUCCACAGACUGUUGAGCAUUUUCUUGUAGAGACAGACGUGUUCAGAGAAAUUAUGUUGUUUCUUAGGAAUAGAAAUCCGACUGGAUUUGGUAACAUUGAUGAUUUCGUUAAUUCCGUCGAUGAAAACAACGAUGGCCAAAUUACCACCUAUGAAAUUGAAGGUUGAAGCUAAGUGUAAUGGCAAUAGCAAACAGAGAUGGGUGUGAUCUGCCAGAAACUAUAGAAUUCAUCAGAAAUAGAAAUGGACCAACGUCCACAACAAAUUAAAAACCAAUCCGCUCGUGAUCUGACUGUACUAUAGCACAAUCUUUAUUUAUAAAACAUAGUAAUAA